CCUACGGGAGGCAGCAGUGAGGAAUAUUGGUCAAUGGACGAGAGUCUGAACCAGCCAAGUAGCGUGAAGGAUGACUGCCCUAUGGGUUGUAAACUUCUUUUAUAAAGGGAUAACACGAGGCACGUGUGCCUUUUUGCAUGUACUUUAUGAAUAAGGAUCGGCUAACUCCGUGCCAGCAGCCGCGGUAAUACGGAGGAUCCGAGCGUUAUCCGGAUUUGUUGGGUUUAAAGGGAGCGUAGAUGGGUUGUUAAGUCAGUUGUGAAAGUUUGCGGCUCAACCGUAAAAUUGCAAUUGAUACUGGCAGUCUUGAGUACAGUUGAGGUAGGCGGAAUUCGUGGUGUAGCGGUGAAAUGCUUAGAUAUCACGAAGAACCCCGAUUGCGAAGGCAGCUUACUAAACUGUGACUGACAUUGAUGCUCGAAAGUGUGGGUAUCAAACAGGAUUAGAUACCCCGGUAGUC
rnacentral:rRNA from 1 species